rnacentral:piRNA from 1 species
UGCUUUUUAAAGGAACAGUAGCACAGUGC